UACGGAGGGUGCGAGCGUUGUCCGGAAUCAUUGGGCGUAAAGGGCGCGUAGGUGGCGGGACAAGCGUGCGGUGAAAGCCUGGGGCUCAACCCCGGGUCGGCCGUGCGAACUGUUUUGCUUGAGCACUGUAGAGGCAGGCGGAAUUCCGGGUGUAGCGGUGGAAUGCGUAGAUAUCGGGAGGAACACCAGUGGCGAAGGCGACUUCCUGGCCUGUUCUUGACGCUGAGGCGCGAAAGCUAGGGUAGCAAACGGG
rnacentral:rRNA from 1 species